UUGGUGUCUUACGGCUACAAAGCGUCCAC
rnacentral:piRNA from 1 species